CCGACCACCCUCUACCAGCCAUCACGCGCGCAGAAGAAAUCCGGCCUUUGAAGGGCCAAGUGCGGAUUUUUUUGUUUUUCCCUGGGCCAACUUUUUUUUCUCCAGAUUUGUUUUUUUCCUGUUAUGGGCAUCAUCAUCUGCGUCUCUCCCUUUCGCCGCAGCUCUCUCUCUCUCUCUCUCUCUCGCAGCAGUCUCCCUUCAGUCUGCUCCGGUGUCAACAUUCCUUGUAGCUAAGUCGAUGCGACGAUGACGUUCUGCCGGCGGAGGCGACAGCCGACGCCCGGUGACGACCGCUGUACAUUCUAGUUCUCAACAAGAAGUCGAGUUCAGGACGCAUACCUGCCCGCGAAUUGGAGGGCCCAUAAGUUAUCAUCUGAGCCACAAAGAAGGACCGUUUCUAGUGGAACCCUGCAAUGUGGACGAUAGGACUCGAACUAAGAAACAAUUGUGGACACCAUGAUCAACUGGGACAAGAAAACUCAGUAGCUGCUCUGCUUAAGAAGUUCACCUUGCGGUGCCAAUGAGGUAGUCCUCUACCACGGUGUUCUUGUUCCAAACGAGCACCCCUAUCUCUUGGUGUCCAUCUACAAGGGUGAGCACGAAUUUCUGCUUGAAGAUGGGAUCCCUGCCUUUGCCUUGUGCAAAAGAACCAACAACUAAUGAACCACGCAUGAGCAAGAACUGAGUCAGAAAGGAAAUUAAGAUUUGGUUACCUCUGCACACUUGCGUCCUGACUGUUGUAGUAGCAUAUUCAAGUGUGACAUAUGGGUCUUGGUCAUGCAGC